GGUACAUAUGUAUAGUUAAAAGAAAAUGAAAACAAAAAAAAACUAUAAGAGCAAGUAUUAUAGUGGGCCGGCUAAAUGCUGAGGUGGAUGAGAGAGAAGAUGAGAGAGAGUAAAAGCGGGCCGUAAGCUUACAGCCGGCUCAGACACAAAAACCAAGAAAGUUUAUGAGAGGGACAAGUGGACCAUAUAUUAAUAGUGAUGAGCUAACCAUUAUAUGAGU
rnacentral:lncRNA from 1 species